AAUGUAUGAUGCCGUUGACUUUUUGUCCAACGUUUGACCAUUCGUCUUAUUCAAAAAAUUUAUGUAAUUAUCAUUUAUUUUAUUGUGACUUGAUUGAUCAUCAAAUGUUCUUUAAGCAUGACAUAAAUAUUUUCAUAUUUGCAAAAAAAAUGAAUAAAACGAAUGGUCAAACGUUGGUUAAAAAGUCAAUGACGUCAUACAUU
rfam:Oryza nivara chromosome 12, whole genome shotgun sequence.